AGGUAAGCUACUAAGAGCGAAUGGUGGAUGCCUUGACUGGUAAAGGCGAUGAAGGACGUACUAGACUGCGAUAAGCUACGGGGAGCUGUCAAGAAGCUUUGAUCCGUAGAUUUCCGAAUGGGGCAACCCAAUGUAUAGAGAUAUACAUUACCUAUAUAGGAGCGAACGAGGGGAAUUGAAACAUCUUAGUACCCUCAGGAAAAGAAAUCAAUAGAGAUUGCGUCAGUAGCGGCGAGCGAAAGCGCAAGAGGGCAAACCCAGUGCUUGCACUGGGGGUUGUAGGACUGCAAUGUGCAAGAGGUAAGUUUAGCAGAACAUUCUGGAAAGUAUAGCCAUAGAGGGUGAUAGUCCCGUAUGCGAAAAACAAACCUUAGCUAGCAGUAUCCUGAGUAGGGCGGGACACGAGGAAUCCUGUCUGAAUCCGGGUCGACCACGAUCCAACCCUAAAUACUAAUACCAGAUCGAUAGUGCACAAGUACCGUGAGGGAAAGGUGAAAAGAACUGAGGUGAUCAGAGUGAAAUAGAACCUGAAACCAUUUGCUUACAAUCAUUCAGAGCCCUAUGUAGCAAUACAGGGUGAUGGACUGCCUUUUGCAUAAUGAGCCUGCGAGUUGUGGUGUCUGGCAAGGUUAAGCAAACGCGAAGCCGUAGCGAAAGCGAGUCUGAAUAGGGCGCUUAGUCAGAUGCUGCAGACCCGAAACGAAGUGAUCUAUCCAUGAGCAAGUUGAAGCUAGUGUAAGAACUAGUGGAGGACUGAACCCAUAGGCGUUGAAAAGCCCCGGGAUGACUUGUGGAUAGGGGUGAAAGGCCAAUCAAACUUCGUGAUAGCUGGUUCUCUCCGAAAUAUAUUUAGGUAUAGCGUUGUGUCGUAAUAUAAGGGGGUAGAGCACUGAAUGGGCUAGGGCAUACACCAAUGUACCAAACCCUAUCAAACUCCGAAUACCUUAUAUGUAAUCACAGCAGUCAGGCGGCGAGUGAUAAAAUCCGUCGUCAAGAGGGAAACAACCCAGACUACCAGCUAAGGUCCCUAAGUCUUACUUAAGUGGAAAACGAUGUGAAGUUACUUAAACAACCAGGAGGUUGGCUUAGAAGCAGCCAUCCUUUAAAGAAAGCGUAAUAGCUCACUGGUCUAGUGAUUUUGCGCGGAAAAUAUAACGGGGCUAAAGUAAGUACCGAAGCUGUAGACUUAGUUUACUAAGUGGUAGGAGAGCGUUCUAUUUGCGUCGAAGGUAUACCGGUAAGGAGUGCUGGAGCGAAUAGAAGUGAGCAUGCAGGCAUGAGUAGCGAUAAUUAAUGUGAGAAUCAUUAACGCCGUAAACCCAAGGUUUCCUACGCGAUGCUCGUCAUCGUAGGGUUAGUCGGGUCCUAAGUCGAGUCCGAAAGGGGUAGACGAUGGCAAAUUGGUUAAUAUUCCAAUACCAACAUUAGUGUGCGAUGGAAGGACGCUUAGGGCUAAGGGGGCUAGCGGAUGGAAGUGCUAGUCUAAGGUCGUAGGAGGUUAUACAGGCAAAUCCGUAUAACAAUACUCCGAGAACUGAAAGGCUUUUUGAAGUCUUCGGAUGGAUAGAAGAACCCCUGAUGCCGUCGAGCCAAGAAAAGUUUCUAAGUUUAGCUAAUGUUGCCCGUACCGUAAACCGACACAGGUGGGUGGGAUGAGUAUUCUAAGGCGCGUGGAAGAACUCUCUUUAAGGAACUCUGCAAAAUAGCACCGUAUCUUCGGUAUAAGGUGUGGUUAGCUUCGUACUAGGAUUUACUCCGAAAGCGAAGAAACUUACAACAAAGAGUCCCUCCCGACUGUUUACCAAAAACACAGCACUCUGCUAACUCGUAAGAGGAUGUAUAGGGUGUGACGCCUGCCCGGUGCUCGAAGGUUAAUUGAUGGGGUUAGCAUUAGCGAAGCUCUUGAUCGAAGCCCGAGUAAACGGCGGCCGUAACUAUAACGGUCCUAAGGUAGCGAAAUUCCUUGUCGGUUAAAUACCGACCUGCAUGAAUGGCGUAACGAGAUGGGAGCUGUCUCAAAGAGGGAUCCAGUGAAAUUGUAGUGGAGGUGAAAAUUC
rnacentral:rRNA from 1 species